AUUGAACGCUGGCGGCAGGCCUAACACAUGCAAGUCGAACGAGUGGCGGACGGGUGAGUAAUGUCUGGUAAACUGCCUGAUGGAGGGGGAUAACUCCUGGAAACGGUAGCUAAUCCCGCAUACCAUCAGAUGUGCCCAUAUGGGAUUAGCUUGUUGUUGGGGUAACGGCUCACCAAGGCGACAAUCCCUAGCUGGUCUGAGAGGAUGACCAGCCACACUGGAACUGAGACACGGGCCAGACUCCUACGGGAGGCAGCAGUGGGGAAUCUUGCACAAUGGGCGCAAGCCUGAUGCAGCCAUGCCGCGUGAAUGAAGAAGGCCUUCGGGUUGUAAAGUACUUUCAGUGGGGAGGCGUUACCCGCAGAAGAAGCACAGGCGAACUCCGUGCCAGCAGCCGCGGUAAUAC
rnacentral:rRNA from 1 species